rnacentral:rRNA from 1 species
UACGGGGGGAGCAAGCGUUGUUCGGAUUUACUGGGCGUAAAGGGCGCGUAGGCGGCCACUGCAAGUCGGGUGUGAAAUCUCGGGCUUAACUCCGAAACUGCAUUCGAUACUGCCGUGCUUGAGGACUGGAGAGGAGACUGGAAUUUACGGUGUAGCGGUGAAAUGCGUAGAUAUCGUAAGGAAGACCAGUGGCGAAGGCGGGUCUCCUGGACAGUUCCUGACGCUGAGGCACGAAGGUCAGGGAGCAAACGGG